rnacentral:tRNA from 1 species
UAGCUCAGUGGGAGAGCACUUGCCUAGCAUGCAUGAGGCCCUGAGUUCAAUCCUCAG